CAGCCGCCGCGGUAAUACGGAGGGUGCAAGCGUUAUCCGGAUUUACUGGGUUUAAAGGGUGCGUAGGUGGGUCUGUAAGUCAGUGAUGAAAUCUCCGAGCUUAACUCGGAAACUGCCAUUGAUACUAUAGGUCUUGAAUCAUCUGGAGGUGAGCGGAAUAUGUCAUGUAGCGGUGAAAUGCUUAGAUAUGACAUAGAACACCGAUUGCGAAGGCAGCUCACUACGGAUGUAUUGACACUGAGGCACGAAAGCGUGGGGAUCAAACAGGAUUAGAUACCCCCGUAGUCCCUGUCUCUUAUAC
rnacentral:rRNA from 1 species